rnacentral:lncRNA from 1 species
UAGAAUUUGCCCCUCUUUCUCUCUCCUUUCCGUGUUUAACUUCCAUUCUCUCUCCUCUCUCUCUAGAAUUUGUCCCUCUUUCUCUCUCCUUCCUGUGUGUUUAACUUUCAUUCUCUGUAAUGGCGGAUGCUGGUGGAGGAGGAGAAGAAGAGGAAUUUAAAAUAUAAAAUCAAGAGUGCAUUCGUUCCUCACCUUGCUGAAGAAGCAAUUGAGGAAUUCUCUGCAACUUCUAAUUUAUCCGAACUCGAACACAUUGUUGAUAAGUGGUUGGCUAUCUCAAGAGCGUAUAAAGAAGGAGAGAAGAGCAAGAGAGAGGACACUAAAGAGAAAAAUGAGUUAAGUGUUGUUGGGUUGGAGGGGAACUGAGUGGUAUGGUCUUUUGUGUUGCUUGGAGAUGAAGAAAUGAGAGUCAGAGUUUUCUUUUAUGUGAUAGAUGGUGUUUCAUGUUUCUUGCUUCUGUGUUAAUGGAGUUGUGAUGUUCCCCGUGGUGUCCGUGUUAUGGACUUGUUUUGUUCUCUGUUUGUUAUGUGUUGAUGGAGUUGUGAUGUUUUUUGCUUUAAACUCUCUUUAGAGUUGUCUGUGUUAAUGAAGUUGUUUGCUUUGUCUGUGUUAAUGGAGUUCUGCUGUUUUUUUGUUUUUAAACCCUCUAUGGAGU